rnacentral:rRNA from 1 species
UACGGAGGGGGCUAGCGUUGUUCGGAAUUACUGGGCGUAAAGCGCGCGUAGGCGGACCUGCAAGUCGGGGGUGAAAGCCCGAGGCUCAACCUCGGAACUGCCUUUGAUACUGCGGGUCUCGAGUCCGGGAGAGGUGAGUGGAAUUCCUAGUGUAGAGGUGAAAUUCGUAGAUAUUAGGAAGAACACCAGUGGCGAAGGCGGCAUCCUGGACCGACACUGACACUGAGGAGCGAAAGCCAGGGGAGCAAACGGG